rnacentral:rRNA from 1 species
AUUGAACGCUGGCGGCAGGCCUAACACAUGCAAGUCGAACGGUAACAGGAAGAAGCUUGCUUCUUUGCUGACGAGUGGCGGACGGGUGAGUAAUGUCUGGGAAACUGCCUGAUGGAGGGGGAUAACUACUGGAAACGGUAGCUAAUACCGCAUAACGUCGCAAGACCAAAGAGGGGGACCUUCGGGCCUCUUGCCAUCGGAUGUGCCCAGAUGGGAUUAGCUAGUAGGUGGGGUAACGGCUCACCUAGGCGACGAUCCCUAGCUGGUCUGAGAGGAUGACCAGCCACACUGGAACUGAGACACGGUCCAGACUCCUACGGGAGGCGGCAGUGGGGAAUAUUGCACAAUGGGCGCAAGCCUGAUGCAGCCAUGCCGCGUGUAUGAAGAAGGCCUUCGGGUUGUAAAGUACUUUCAGCGGGGAGGAAGGGAGUAAAGUUAAUACCUUGGCUCAUUGACGUUACCCGCAGAAGAAGCACCGGCUAACUCCGUG